GGAGUCUAGCGCGCGCGCGAGUCACUGGGCUUAUAAUUAAACCCAAAGGCGCAUUGAAAGAGAAGGCGAACUUUACGUUCGCUUAGGGAAGAUGGGUUCGCGAUUUAGCGAGCCUCGCAUUCCCGGGGCGUCCGAUCGUCAUUGCGACGAAAGGCGCACCUAGAGCGCGCGCGCUGGGACCCGAAAGAUGGUGAACUAUGCCUGGUCAGGAUGAAGUCAGGGGAAACCCUGAUGGAGGUCCGCAGCGAUUCUGACGUGCAAAUCGAUCGUAAGAACUGGGUAUAGGGGCGAAAGACUAAUCGAACCAUCUAGUAGCUGGUUCCCUCCGAAGUUUCCCUCAGGAUAGCUGGCGCUCGGAGAUUACAGAGUUUCAUCUGGUAAAGCGAAUGAUUAGAGGCGUUGGGGACGAAACGUCCUCAACCUAUUCUCAAACUUUAAAUGGGUGAGAUCUCCGGCUUUCUUAAAACUUGCAGCCGCGAGAAUCUUUUUUUUAAAAAAAUUAAGAAUCUAGAGUGCCAAGUGGGCCAUUUUUGGUAAGCAGAACUGGCGUUGUGGGAUGAACCAAACGCAGAGUUAAAGCGCCUAAAUAGACGCUUAUGAGAUACCAUGAAAGGCGUUGGUAACUUAAGACAGCAGGACGGUGGCCAUGGAA
rnacentral:rRNA from 1 species